AACGAAGCCCUCGCGACGAAGA
rnacentral:siRNA from 1 species